UUAAAAUCCCACAGCAUGUUCUCAGUCUAAUCUCCUUUUAUCUCCGCAACCCGAUUUCAGCAAUUGUGUUUAUCACUUAAAUGCCUCCUCUUGUUCAUAACUUUGAUGAUUCUCACAUGGGCUAUAGACUGCUGUUUACUCUAAUUGUAUUCUUAUUAACAUUCCCAUUUUAAAUGACUAAAAAUAAGACUUUGACCUUCCAAAGUGAAUGACUGCUUACUGCCCUUCCUUGGGGAGAAAUUAACUUUGGAAAUAUCUGCAAAGUAUGUACAUGGUUAUAUGUCCAUUCAUUUUCCUUCUUAUUUGCUUCUUUAAGGUGGAGUCUCCUAUUUAUUUUCUGGAAGAGACGUGGGGACAAAGGAUCACUGGGCCCCAAAGAAAAUGUGAGAAGAUCAUAUUGACAAACUGAAAACGUUUCUGAAGAUAAGAAACAGGUGUAAGAGAGCUGCUCAAGUGACUGACAGACCUGCAGUAGGAAGUAGAACUGCCUUGCCCUCUGAAGCUUGAAGCAGAGGUACCUGGCCAAACCCAGAUCAGCCAAAUUUAAAUCAACCUCAGACACAGACGGGGUUUCACCAUGUUAACCAGGUUGGUCUCCAUCUCCUGACCUCGUGAUCCGCCUGCUUCAGCCUCCCGAAGUGCUGGUAUUACAGGCGUGAGCCACUGCACCCAGCCAUCUCAGGGAACAACUUCGGCCCUGCUGGAAGCCUUGUCAUUGACAAAGGGACCAAAGAUGUUUACUCUCUUUUGAUUCUCUCUUACAGUGGAGCACCUGGGAAUCUGGUUUAUCUCUGUAACCCCGGGCAUACAAAAGGCAGCUGGUCGGGGAAUAAGCUUUGUAUUCUAGGAUGGAGUGUAUGAGCAGAAAGCAAGGAAUUCCCUUCUUCCUGUAAAUCUGUUAAGCUUGUAAAUAAUAGGGGAUAUGAAGAAGGCUUUCAAACCUAAUAUCACCAACCUGAAAUUUUUGGCAACUCUUAGCCGGUGCCUCUAUUGAUCCCUUUAAAACUCUUCACUGUUUUAUCUUGUUAGGAAGUGUAAGAUGUAGAUGAAGCAGUGUAUAAAGUCUAGAUGGUAGAACUAUGGUUUUAGAAGAUGUCUCCGUCUAUUUGUGGUAUGCAGAAUACCAAACAGGUUCAUUUCCUAAUCCUCAGAACCUGUGAAUAUUUUUAAUUACAUGGCAAAAGAGAAUCAAGGUAGCUGAUAGAAUUAAAACUGCUGAUGGGACUAGGGUUUCUAAUCAGCUAACCUUGAAAUAGGCAGAUUAUCAUGGAUUAUCCAGGUGGACCCAAUGUAAUCACAGGAGUCCUUAUAAGUAGAAAAGGGACGCAGAAGAGUCAGAGAAGAUGUGAUGAUGGAAGCACAGUCAGACGGAAUGGAUGCAAUGUAAAGACCCACCUGCCAUUGCUUGCUUUGAAGAUGGAAAAAGGGAGCCAUGAGCCAAGGAAUGGUGCAGUCUUGAGUAGCUAGAAAAGGCAAGAAAACAGAUUCUCUCCUGGAGCCUCCAGAAAGGAGUGCAGUCCUGUUGACAUCUUAAUUUAGCACAGUGAGAGUGGUGUUGGGUUUCUAACCUGUAGAACUUGGGUAAUAAAUUUGUGUUAAUUUAAGCCACUAAUUUGGGGUAAUUUUUUGGCAAUGAUAAAAAACAAUACACUACUAAUGUGAGAAAUCUGCCUGUAAACAUGGGUAGAUGAGAAAGCAAAAAUUAAAAGGUGACUGAGGUAAAAGAAUAUCUAUCUGCCUGUAUGGUUCAAACAGACCUCUGGGGAGGUUUCCCAAAAGUGAUUAGAGGGAGUUGCAAUUAGUGAUUGGGUAUAGAAGGAAAGUGACUAAUAUAAUAUGAGGGGAGGACACUGAGAGAUGUUCCACAGUGUUAACACACUUCCUGGCAGACUAAUCAGCUCUUGAAACACCUAAAAACCUUUAAUAACCAUGUAUGACAGAGGAGUAUAUAGGUUUUUGUAGUCUGGGGAAAAAUCCGACCUCUAUAUAUUGACACAUAGAAACAAAAUUACAAAAUCAUGUUAAAUGAAUUUUAGAAAGGAAAGUAGUCUUGCAAACUAUACAUCCAAUUCUCAUUUUAUACACAAAAAGAAACUGAGGUUCAGUGAGGUAUAAUGGUUUGCUGAUAUUAGUUUAUGUCACAGCUAAUACACGAACUCAGUUCUCCAAAUUAGUAGAUUUGCCUAAAAAGUGUAGGAUCUGGUUACAACUCCAUAAUUAUUCUAUUUCCUAAUAAACUAAAAAUAAACUGUAGGACCAAAAUCAUUGUCUCUGGUUAGUGAGAAAAAAUAAAUUAAAGCCCUGGCCAAAAUGGGAUAUUAAUGUUGGAUGGGAAGAAGGAGACAUGCUGAGCUUGAGAGGCACUAUAUGUCCUUGGGAGAAAAGCAACUUCUUCAGAGCUGUGGUAGCUAAGCACCAGGAAAUUUCCAAGUAAUUGUCCCAAACAGGCCCUUCAUCUACCCACAUUUUGUGAAUGGGAGGAGUCCCUUCGAGAUCCUCAAACUAGUCUUGUUCCUUCAGUGGGUAUGACAGCCCAGUUGGUCUCGGCCGACCUCAGUAAUAAUGACCAAGGAUAGUAAUGAUAGCUGCUAGCAUUAUUGAGCACUUGCUGUGUGCACUGCCACGUACAAUUCCAAGUGCUUCACAUGUAUUAUCUCACUUAAUCCUUGCAGUAACCCUGAAAAUUUUUAUCCCCAUUUCAUAAGCAAGAUAACUGAAGCACAGAAAGGUUUAGUAACUUGUCAACAGUUAUUCAGCUACUAAGUGGUAGAGCCAGAAUCUGAGCCCAGAUAGCCUGACUCCAGAGCUAAGCUGUAGACAGGCUCUGGCUUCCCUCUUGCUUUAGACAAUGGACUACACGGGGGCAAGAAUUAGGUCUUGCUCAUCUAUGCAGUUUCAGUGACUGGUAACAUUUCAGCACAAAUAGGGCAGAAUAGCACAGAGGUCAGAGACUGGACUGUGGGGGUCAGUCAUUCCAGGUUUUAAAAAACGGCACCAGCACUCGGUAUGACCUUGGGUAAGUUACUUACCUUCUCUCAAUUUCAGAUUGUUUACCUUAAAAAGGAAAAAGCAUAAUAAAAAGAGACAUCUUUAUUAUUUAUUAUCUAUCGCAUCAGGCUGUUGUGAAGAUUAAUGCUAUAACACAUUUCAGGCUUAGCCUAGCAUUGUAUUUGAUAAAUAAUAAACGAGACUCCAUACAACAGGAAGUUAUUUUUGUCAUCUUUCUUUGCUUUUCAAAAUUAUUUUUUAAAUGUUCCAAAAACCUAAAUGUCUCCCAAG
rnacentral:lncRNA from 10 species